UUCCUCAUCGACACUUCACCAAGUAUCCCUUUUCUAAAUUCCUCAAAUCCCCAAAUUUGACGAAAGCAGCGGCGGGUCUUCCCUUCACUUCCCGCCGCUCUCUCCUUCUUCGCCGCCGGCCUGAAUCGCCGGGCUCCACCAGCGUGUGCUCUCUCCGACCGGCGCAUCUGAUUGUCGGCUUCUCACCUUCGAGCUCUUUCUCUCUCCGUUGAAGCCACGGAGGAGUUCUCGGCUCUCCGUCGCGCCGCGGCCGGCUAGCCGCGCUCCUCUGCGAUUUCCGUCUCCUCCUCCCGACGCCACCGAAUCGCCGGCACUCUCACUGUGUCGGCUCCCUCUCUCUCCGUCGAGCUCACUCUGUCGAGCUCCCCGGAAGACAGCGACGCCAUCGCCCCUCUCUCUAUUUCUUCCGGUCUCCGCCACACCUCUCGCUGCUGCCCACCGAGAUCGCUGCUGGACAGACGGACUGCUGUUCAGCCGGGAAAAUCUGCGACCGCCUCACAGUGCAGCCCUCUGUUGUCUCUGCUGCAGCGCCGUCUCCGGCCGCGCAGCGUCGCCGUGCAUCGCCUGUCGCCUCCAGCUAUGUGUCGGGUAGCCGGGAAACCCCGUAGUCAUUCGAUCGCUGCCGGAUAGCCCUAUGCACUAAGCUAAGCCCUCUAACUCCCAUCAUUUAGUUCAUUAUGUUAAGUUCCUCUUUGGACAGUAGCCUUGUGAGCUUAAAGUCUCUUGAACUUGAUUGUUGUGGUGAAACUUUGGUGCAUCUCUUGCUAUUGAAUUAGCUAAGCAGCUUAUGAUCGAUUUGUCUCUUAUUUGUGAAGUGAGAUUCCUAAAGCUCUAAGUUCUUGAGCUUUAGAAGUUCUAUUCUUGCUACUGUUGAGGCUUCUAAAUUUUCUAAGUUCUUGCCUAAACAUGGGAUUCUAUCAUGAUGCAAGGGUGGUGUCGUGGACUUUUUACCUUGGCUCGGUGAUUCCUCUUGGUUUGGUGGGCUGCGUCCUGCCCCUGCUACUCCUCCACUCCUUGUGCAGCUCCUUAUGUUGUGUGAAUAUUGGUGUCGAAUGGUGUGGAGGGGUUUUUAUAGGAUGGCUUUGGUGUACUUUGAUGAAUUACAUGGCUGACAUUGUAGUUGAUUCACUUGUAGGACUAAGUCUUGGUGUUACUUGUAGUAUUAUGCACUUUGCCAUUUAUUUCUUCUUGUUCCUACAUGACUACCUAGUACAACACCUUACUAGUCAUUUAAUUGCUUUGUUUGUAUUUUUUGUUUGCAGGUGGGGUUGGAACCUUGGGCUGCCAAGCUGCUGUCCUCGACGGGCUUGCUGCCUCGGGCCCAAUGGGCUGAUCGGAUAGGGCCGUGGUGGAUUGCGACUUGGGCUCGGGAGAAGAAACCCAAAGUGCAAGCCAUACUAGACUUUAUUUCCUUAAGCUUUUGGUCCAUUCUAGAGUAUUUGUACUAGUAUAUUCAACAUCAUAAAUCACCCAGACAUCGCGGGCCAUGGGUUGAUUGCGGUCCGAGAAUAAGGUGGAGACAUGGCAAGGAGUCAAGUCGGAUUCAGAGGUUUGAUUCAAAUUGGAAUUUCACUAUGAAGCUAAAAUCCAAAUCCACUCCUCAGACCAUCAUUGUCUUCAUCGUCGAAAGAGCUUCGCGGGGUAUCUUGCAUGCCUCAAUUAGAACCCGGAUGAGGAAGUUAUGAUCGUUUUAAGAAAGCAGCGCAAUGCAGAAUGAAACGUGCGGGCAGGCGAUUUUGCAAGGGAAAACGCCCAAUCGGGCGUUUUGACAGUUUUUGGUCGCGAACUCCCGAGAGUUCGCCCGAUCAGGCGUUUUGCAUGAGGAAAAACGUCUGACCGGGCUUUUUGCGCGACUUGCGUUUUUGGACACUUUUUGUGUCUUUUAUUAAGCACUUUUUUUCUCUUGUAUAAAUACCCAUGUCUGGGGUUUUUGUGGGCAGACUUUGAAUAUUAUUGAAGAACAAAGAUUCUAUUGUGAGCACCCAUCUUCAUCAUUGAAGAUUUAUCCAAAAUCCCUUGUGGUUGCAUUUAA